AUUGAACGCUGGCGGCAUGCUUUACACAUGCAAGUCGAACGGUAACAGGCCGCAAGGUGCUGACGAGUGGCGAACGGGUGAGUAAUGCAUCGGAACGUGCCCAGUCGUGGGGGAUAACGCAGCGAAAGCUGCGCUAAUACCGCAUACGAUCUGUGGAUGAAAGCGGGGGACCGAAAGGCCUCGCGCGAUUGGAGCGGCCGACGUCAGAUUAGGUAGUUGGUGGGGUAAAGGCCCACCAAGCCAACGAUCUGUAGCUGGUCUGAGAGGACGACCAGCCACACUGGGACUGAGACACGGCCCAGACUCCUACGGGAGGCAGCAGUGGGGAAUUUUGGACAAUGGGCGCAAGCCUGAUCCAGCAAUGCCGCGUGCAGGAAGAAGGCCUUCGGGUUGUAAACUGCUUUUGUACGGAACGAAACGGCUCUGGUUAAUACCUGGGGCUAAUGACGGUACCGUAAGAAUAAGCACCGGCUAACUACGUGCCAGCCGCCGCUGUAAAAC
rnacentral:rRNA from 1 species